GCCAAAUUCUACCUGAUUAGUUCAAGAUAAUCCAUCAUCAACCAAUAAUUUCUUUCUAUGAUAAAGGGAUGUCCCAAAUUUUAUUAUUACCUUGCAUUCAGGCUUGUUAAGCAUGUAGGUACCACCAUAUACAGCACUUAGACGAGCAAAUGCCUGUCAUCAAUGUUUUUUAUAAACCAUAAGUUGCCACAAAAUCGAACGAAAUUUUUAAACAAGACACACCUGUGGCAGUUCUCCCAGUCCAUACAGUGGGUAAAUAUAAGGAGAACUUCCUCGAAAACGAGCCAAAGAAUCUGCAUAUAGCUAUUAAUUCACGAUGAAUGAAGAAAAACAUUAGCCAGGCUGAUCCAAGUAACUGUCAUCUUGAUGGAGAGCAAGUGCAUGGCCUAUAAAAUCAACUGUAUUGUCUUCUAGUCCAUAUUUCCUUCAUGCAUGCAUACAUGCCACGGUUUAUACAUUUAAGCCGUAGCUAGUAUUAAACUAAAAAUUAUUUUGAUAACUUACGAUACAAGAGCUUUCGCAGUGACUUUGUUGAGAUCCAAUCCUUCAUGGGAUUUCGGAUCAUUUUCA